rnacentral:rRNA from 1 species
AGCGAACGCUGGCGGCAGGCUUAACACAUGCAAGUCGAGCGGGCACUUUCGGGUGUCAGCGGCGGACGGGUGAGUAACGCGUGGGAACGUGCCCUCUGGUUCGGAAUAACUCAGGGAAACUUGAGCUAAUACCGGAUACGCCCUUUUGGGGAAAGGCUUGCUGCCGGAGGAUCGGCCCGCGUCUGAUUAGCUAGUUGGUGAGGUAACGGCUCACCAAGGCGACGAUCAGUAGCUGGUCUGAGAGGAUGAUCAGCCACACUGGGACUGAGACACGGCCCAGACUUCUACGGGAGGCAGCAGUGGGGAAUAUUGGACAAUGGGCGCAAGACUGAGCCAGCCAGGCCGCGUGAGUGAUGAAGGCCUUAGGGUUGUAAAGCUCUUUUAUCCGGGACGAUAAUGACGGUACCGGAGGAAUAAGCCCGGGCUAGCUUCGUG